rfam:Pelodiscus sinensis unplaced genomic scaffold scaffold285, whole genome shotgun sequence.
AAUAAGGUUUUUAUUAAAACCACAGAAUACACUCAGGCAGCUGCUA